CUCAGAGUGAACGCUGGCGGUAGGCCUAACACAUGCAAGUCGAACGGCAGCACAGGAGAGCUUGCUCUGCUUGGUGGCGAGUGGCGGACGGGUGAGGAAUACAUCGGAAUCUACUUUUUCGUGGGGGAUAACGUAGGGAAACUUACGCUAAUACCGCAUACGACCUACGGGUGAAAGCAGGGGAUCUUCGGACCUUGCGCGAUUGAAUGAGCCGAUGUCGGAUUAGCUAGUUGGCGGGGUAAAGGCCCACCAAGGCGACGAUCCGUAGCUGGUCUGAGAGGAUGAUCAGCCACACUGGAACUGAGACACGGUCCAGACUCCUACGGGAGGCAGCAGUGGGGAAUAUUGGACAAUGGGCGCAAGCCUGAUCCAGCCAUACCGCGUGGGUGAAGAAGGCCUUCGGGUUGUAAAGCCCUUUUGUUGGGAAAGAAAUCCAGCUGGUUAUACCGGUUGGGAUGACGGUAGCCAAAGAAUAAGCCCCGGCUAACUUCGUGCCAGCAGCCGCGGUAAUACGAAGGGGGCGAGCGUUACUCGGAAUUACUGGGCGUAAAGGGCGCGUAGGCGGUCUGUUUAGUCAGUAGUGAAAGCCCUGGGCUCAACCUGGGAACUGCAGUGGAUACUGGGAGGCUAGAGUGUGGUAGAGGGUAGCAGGAUU
rnacentral:rRNA from 1 species